UCCACUUUUUUUCUGUUUAUUUGUUUUAUAUUGCUUGCGAUAUGUGAUAUUUGUAGUACAAUAUUUGAGUAUUUGGGUAACGUAUUACCGUAAAAUUUAAAAGUGACUGUUAUUUUAUGUUUAAGAAAAAUAAAAAUGGUAAUAAUUUUAAUAAUGCAGGAAUCACUCAAGAGGAUUACCGGCUGAUGGUAAGGGAUGCCACAGAAAUUGAUUGGACCUGUGCACAGUGCACAGUUAUCAACCAAACAGAUGCAGAUGAUGAGGGAAAUUCUUUCAAUGUGACGGCCGACUUCGACAUCCCUCAGCGUAUAGAGGAAAGAGACAACGUGGCGAUGGUACAACGUGGCGUUGUUCCGUGAGGAACAGCAAGAUGACGUGCCCAGCCACUGUUCAGCAGACCGGCGACACCUUCGUCAACGGAACCAGGGCACACGUCCACGGACCGGAGGGCGGCAUCCAGACAACGCUUGCCGUCAAAGCGAAGAUCAAGGAAACUGCUAAAACUGACGUUUUCCAGCCGGCGAGCGCCAUCGUUGAGGGCGUCAUUAUUGACGACCUCGAUGUACAGCAGACCUGGGAU